AAUAGAUACCCUGGUAGUCCACGCUGUAAACGAUGGAUGCUAGCUGUUAGGAGUAUCGACCCUCCUAGUAGCGUAGCUAACGCGUUAAGCAUCCCGCCUGUGGAGUACGGUCGCAAGACUAAAACAUAAAGGAAUUGACGGGGACCCGCACAAGCGGUGGAGCGUGUUGUUUAAUUCGAUGGUAAGCGAAGAACCUUACCCAGGCUUGACAUCCUGUUAGUCACUACGAAAGUAGAGAGUGCCUUCGGGCCGCAGUGACAGGUGAUGCAUGGCCGUCGUCAGCUCGUGUCGUGAGAUGUUUGGUUAAGUCCAUCAACGAGCGCAACCCUUAUAGUUAGUUGUAUUUCUCUAGCUAGACUGCCCUGGUAACAGGGAGGAAGGAGGGGAUGAUGGUCAGGUCAGUAUCUCCCUUACGUCUGGGGCUACAAACACGCUACAAUGGCCGGUACAAAGGGCUGCCAACCCGCGAGGGGGAGCAAAUCCCAUCAAAGCCGGUCUCAGUUCGGAUUGUAGGCUGAAACUCG
rnacentral:rRNA from 1 species